GUUUAUUGCCAUGACACCUUGAACAUGCCCAAGAUCGGACGAAGUCUCGGAAGCUAAGCAGGGUCAGGCCUGGUUAGUACUUGGAUGGGAAACCACCUAGGAAUACCAGGUGCUGUAGGGA
rnacentral:rRNA from 1 species